GGCACACAGGGGCUGUUCUCCUUGAUCUCUGCACCUCAGUGAGCACAUCUGCCACCUUCCUGCAGACCCAGGCUCCCUUCACUGGCUAUGGACCUGCAGCAGCAAAAACUUGGUGUCAAGAGCUUGAUCUGCCCAUUCCCACGUGGCUGCCAUGGAGGAGGAGCAGCUGUGCCAAGCAGAGGAGAUAAACACUUGAAAUGUGGGAUGAAGGAGGCUUCAAACAUCUCUGCUGCCUGCAAAAUAGGUUUUUCCCCACCCUUGAAUAAGAAUUUCAGCAGCUCAGAUGAUAUGGGGAAAGCCAUUUGACCACCUCCAGUCCUUGCACUAGGAAAGGGGAAUUAAAAUCCCCUGGUGACCUGUGCACCCAGAAAAGGAGGAGCUCUUGGGGAAGGUGACUGCAAAGCCUCCACACACUUCCCACUCCUUGGCUUUCAGUGUCUCAUUGCAACUGGAAAGGUUGGAAUUAAAGUUGCAUGUGCAUAAUGUCACACAGUCCUCAUGUGGGAAUAGGGAUGUGCAUCCACCCCAGGCCUCCAGCACGUGGAUUUAAUGGGAAACACUCUCACACCAAACCCAAGUGCUCCUCCCUGGACUCAUGGUGAUGCUCAGCCCCUGGCACAGCCCUGCUCAGCCAGGAUGGCACCAGGACCUAUUCCUCACCCCAGCAGGAGCUGCAGCACUGCCACCCAGCAGGCUUACUAGAUUAAUUAGAGGUGUUGGGAUUUAUGCUUUUGCUUGGGGCAAAACCCUCUCUCCAAAGCAGCCCUGCCUGAAUUAAGCUGGGGGGCACCCAGAGCCCUCCAUGGAUCCUCACAGACAACUUCAGUGGGGCUGGGAUCCUGUGUGCUCCCUCUGACAUGCCCACUUACUCCCAGGGAAAUAAAAUAAAGAGCCAAACAGCAAAAAAAAAAAUGCACCUCAAAACUGACCAGUGCCUCUGAAGUGACAGCACGUGGGAGCAGGAGGAGCAAACAAAUCCCUGGGAGGGAAAAGCUCUGGCACCACCAGAGCUGGGGAGCAGGGGGUGGCCAGAGGUCCUGCAAAGGUGAUGGAGUGGGUAAUGUAAUGUGGUGACAGAGAAGGAGGCAGCUCUGGAAGUCACAGGAUUGCCCACGGUGCCAGCGUGGGGCUCCCCAGCAGCGUGUGCCCUGCCUGGGGGCAGAUGGGCAGGGAGAGGUUUGUGUUACGGGAGGUGACUCUUGUUGGACACGUCUGCUGGCAGGUCAAUUAAUUCUGCACCUUUUCUCCCCUGAUCAACCUGUCAGUUCCAAUAUUAUCAUUAAUUAGAGCACAUGUCCAGAGUCAGCUAAUGCAGCGUGAGCUGGGAGCUGUGAGCUGUGCCAUCUUGAGCUGAUCCAGC